AGAUACGUCAGUUUAUAAUAUACCGACAGGAAAACAGGGUUAGCAAAGACACAACUGUUUAUUUGUAGGUAUAAAUCAAAGGAACAUAAUUAGUUUUCUGCUAUGUACAUGCAUUUGUGGACAGGUUGCUCCUAAGUUGUCAUUUUUCACAGUAACAGUCUAAGCACCUAUAAAUAUUUUCCUUCUCAAAUAUACUAAACAUCAAAAGUGGCAGUUUGAAUGAGACAUUCCCUAUAGUCUCAGGCAUUAGAAUGAUUGGUGUCUGGCUGGUGGUGCUCUUUGGCUCAGGAGACAUAGGCUUGCUUGAGGAAGAAUGUCACUGGAUACAGGCUUUGAGAGUUCAGAAUCGCGCCAUUUCACGUUUGCCCUCUUGGUUUCCUGUUCGCUGUUUUGAGAUGUGAGUUCCUGCAGCCAUGUCUGCCUGCUGCUGCAUGUCCCCAGUGUGACGCUGGUAGAUUCUUAGAUCCCUGGAGCCAUAAGCCCCAAAGAAGCCCUUCUAUACAGUGCCUUGGUCAUGGUGUUCUCCCAGAGCAACAGAAAAGUAACUAAUAGAUUAAGUGAAAACUGGCCUGCUGUUUCCCUAAUUUACUAGUGAGUUUAACACUAGUCUCAAUGAGCAGGGCUCCUGUGUUAAAAUAAAAUGUAAAAGUACAUGUUUUUGAAGAUAGGGUCUUUGUAGGUAUCCCAGAAUGGCGCGCAACUGGCUACACAGCUCAGGAUGGCUUUGAACACAAAAUCCCCCACUUCCUCCUCCUGUGUAUGGGCAUGCACCACUAUACCUGGCACACAAAAAGGAUUCUGAGAAAACCAGACUGGAUCAAGGAUGCUCACAGAAGACUGGAAGCUCAAACAGAUACCACACCCUGACCUCUCAAGUUAUUCAAGACAACCUGAAGUCUAGAUAGUUGUACACCGACCCUACUUUGCAGGCUCCAUGGAAAAAUCGGCACUUAAGCUGUGGCUCUGUUCAGAACAUACUAUUUCAAGAAGGGAAGACUGCAGAAGAGGAAGUGGAGGAAUGUACAAGCCUUAGGAUGGGAACGAGUGCUUUGAAAUGCUGACUUCUGGAUAAGACACGGUUGCUGCACCCAGGGUAUGACAAAGUGGUGGUUAACGGCACAAAAGUGGCCAUCAACAGUCAUCAUGGAUAGAGGAGGGGCCCACGAUAUCCUAACCCCUCUGAAAAGGUGACAGUUGCUGAGUGGGGGAGUCAUACUCUUCAUUGGGUUAGCAACUGCUAAACUGCUCCUACCCAUGCUUAUGUAAGCAACCAACCAUAAUUAGAUGCAAUGGGACACAAACAGAAAGAUAGGAAGUAGGAGGGGCCUGUUAGAAAGAAGAAGGGGUUCAUUAUGAGAAGGGAGAGGAUAAUGGGGAGAUGUGUUAAAGUGCUUGUGUAUGUGUGCAAGAAACUGAAAGAAUAAACAAAAAAUGUUUCAAAAGCAAAGCAAACCAAAGAAACUAAUGUCAGGGAUAGGGAGG